ACGUACACUCCUACGGGAGGCAGCAGUGGGGAAUAUUGGACAAUGGGCGCAAGCCUGAUCCAGCCAUGCCGCGUGAGUGAUGAAGGCCCUAGGGUUGUAAAGCUCUUUCACCGGAGAAGAUAAUGACGGUAUCCGGAGAAGAAGCCCCGGCUAACUUCGUGCCAGCAGCCGCGGUAAUACGAAGGGGGCUAGCGUUGUUCGGAAUUACUGGGCGUAAAGCGCACGUAGGCGGAUCGAUCAGUCAGGGGUGAAAUCCCAGGGCUCAACCCUGGAACUGCCUUUGAUACUGUCGAUCUGGAGUAUGGAAGAGGUGAGUGGAAUUCCGAGUGUAGAGGUGAAAUUCGUAGAUAUUCGGAGGAACACCAGUGGCGAAGGCGGCUCACUGGUCCAUUACUGACGCUGAGGUGCGAAAGCGUGGGGAGCAAACAGGAUUAGAUACCCGAGUAGUCCCA
rnacentral:rRNA from 1 species